CCUACGGGAGGCAGCAGUGAGGAAUAUUGGUCAAUGGGCGCGAGCCUGAACCAGCCAAGUAGCGUGAAGGAUGACUGCCCUACGGGUUGUAAACUUCUUUUGCAAGGGAAUAAAGUGAGGCACGUGUGCCUUUUUGCAUGUACUUUGUGAAUAAAGAUCGGCUAACUCCGUGCCAGCAGCCGCGGUAAUACGGAGGAUCCGGGCGUUAUCCGGAUUUAUUGGGGUUAAAGGGAGCGUAGAUGGGGUGUUAAGUCAGUUGUGAAAGGUUGCGGCUCAACCGUAGAACUGCAAUUGAUACUGGCAGUCUUGAGUACAGUAGAGGUAGGCGGAAUUCGUGGUGUAGCGGUGAAAUGCGUAGAUAUCACGAAGAACCCCGAUUGCGAAGGCAGCUUACUGGACUGCCACUGACGUUGAGGCUCGAAAGUGUGGGGAUCAAACAGGAUUAGAUACCCUAGUAGUC
rnacentral:rRNA from 1 species